rnacentral:lncRNA from 1 species
UGCUCGAUCACAUAGGGUCACUACAAACAAAUUUGCACACACCGCAAAUCAGCACCACAAUCCACGACCAUAAAUACUACCUUCUCCAAUCUGUGACUAACCGCGAUCAAAUGUCUUCAAUGUAAUUGUCUAUGAUCAAGAGAGUCUAAUUUUGUGACAGUAUAUAACCAGGUAGUUACCAUAGAUGUGGUCAUAGACAAUGACAAUAAAAAAUGACUUGGUCACAUCCGGUUGUGUCGCCACCAAUACUCUCGACAACGUCGAGAACCACGUGCACACCACCUCACCACAAUCACAUGCACCACCACCAAUAGAAGGAACGUCGUCGCCUACGCCACCAAUAACAGACUUGUUCCACAUAUCAAGAAAUCACGAGAACCAUUUACAAAACACCAAUAACUAUUCAAAAACUCUGGCUAAAUGACAAAUCUAAUGAAAAAAACCACCUACCACAUUUGAUCAAACAACCACCUACCAUAUCAACCACCUACCAUAUCAAUUUCAAGCCAUUCGACGAAAAUGCCAACGUUCACCACCGAAGCAGUGGGUAGCUCAUUGCGAGCAAAGCUCACUUCACCUCAGUUGUUCGCCGUUAUGUUACGUCGAAAAAUAUGGGGUGGGUGGGGAUAAAAAGCUGUCUUUGCUACGAGAAGCACUCACCACUACUACAUGCAGCGACGACCCACCCCCUACAACAGCUACGGCACAUAGUAAGAAAAAAUCAUCACUACACUAUAGUGGUUCGCCACUACGUCGGAAAAGGGGGUGGGUGGGUAAGAAGUAGCCGUUGCCACGAGAAGCACUUACUGCUAACUAUAGCAGCUGUGACGACUCAAGGCAAGCAAAAAUC